ACGGAGGGUGCAAACGUUAAUCGGAAUUACUGGGCGUAAAGCGCGCGUAGGUGGUUUGUUUAGUGGGAUGUGAAAGCCCAGGGCUUAACCUUGGAACUGCAUUCCAAACUGACAGACUAGAGUACGAGAGAGGGGGGUAGAAUUCAGAGUGUAGCGGUGAAAUGCGUAGAUAUUCUGAGGAAUACCAGUGGCGAAGGCGGCCCCCUGGCUUGAUACUGACACUGAGGCGCGAAAGCGUGGGGAGCAAACAGG
rnacentral:rRNA from 1 species